GCAUCAGGUAGGCCGGUAUCCUGGCUGUUGGAAUGGGCUUUGAGAUCUGGAAUCUGUCAGCCUGUUGGCAGGCUCGUGUCGGCUCGUGUAAGCCUAUGCAUCCAUAUACGGUCUGGGAUACAGCCCGCGCGUACAUGUUUGGCCCAUCAGCCUGCUCGUGUCCUCUCUGCUCAACCUAUGACGCUCUUUCUCUGUCGUUCUCGUUCCUGUUCCGUCGCCCAGCCAUCCCCCUCCCUCUCUCUUUCUCAUCUGUGCGUAGUUCCCGCGGUGGUGGUCGUCGGCGACCACGCUCCCCUUCAGCCGUGGCCAGGAGACCGGGUGCAGCCCCACCCUCCCUCGGCUCCUGCGACCGAAGCGCCGGCCCGAGCGCUCGUCCUCUUCCACUCUGACUGCCAAAUCACCCGGAUCCCGCGUCCUCUUCCACUCCGGCGACCGGAUCCCCUCGAGUUUGCGGAACACCGGAUCUGUCCAGGGCGAGGUCCUUGUCCACGGAUCCGGCCGGGAGAAAUCAUUUUCUUCAUUGUUUUCGUCGAUUUGUCUUAGGUUCAGUUCAACUAAGAAUGCAAGGUGACAAAAUGCGACAAAUGGUUGAAAAAAUGUGCAGUUCUGCCCCCAGAGAAAAAGAUGCCAUCCAACAAUAUGCAUAGUUGGGUUCCUUGGAAACAUCACCCUUGAACUUUCUGACAGCUUGGAACAGAUGCUUCCACACAUAACCUCCCUAGUUCGAUUCUUUCAUUUUGCCUAUGUUGUUUUAGUGCUUCCAAGAAUAUGUGUACUGUAGUCAUGCCUGGCAGUGGGAGCAAGCACGUGGCCCAUCACAAAAAUUGCAAAAAUGCAAUAUCUCUAAGCAAAUAUGCAUCUGGUGCCUUCAGAUUGUGUGUUUCUUUAUCACUGAGACAAAUAAGCAUCUUGAUCGAUCUUGAUAUAACUAGUUUCCUCAUCAGGUGAGGAAUUCUUCAGCUUUUACUUCUUGAUUUAGCUGGUUGAUGAUGUUUUCAUGGCUAAUGGUGCUUUUUUCUGUUGUUAAAAAAUGCAAAUGAUUAGGUUCUAUUGAUUGCUCCUACGAAUGCAAAUGAUUAGGCAUAACAGAGAUAAGAUGAAUCCCACAGCUCAUGAUCAGACAACACAGCAACAAAAACCAAAUGGCCGAAGAGCAGUUGGUAGCUCGCAAACCUGGACACGGUAUGGUGUUCUGCUACCAAGCCAGCAGACACGGAAGCUAAAAGAAUGGAUUCUAACUGAUGAACAACAACAAGUAGUCAAUGCUAGUGGUCUUGGACAUCUUGCUCUUACGACAGGAUUUACCAUUGACCGUUCCUUGCUUACAGCCUUCUGUGAGAGAUGGAACAACGAAACAAAUACUGCACAUUUCAUGGGAUUUGAAAUGGCACCGUCUCUCCGUGACGUAUCAUAUAUUCUAGGAAUCCCAGUGACUGGUCAUGUGGUGACGGCAGAACCCAUCGGUGAUGAAGCUGUGAAUCGCAUGUGCUUGCAUUACUUAGGAGAGAGCCCUGGAAGCGGAGAGCAACUAUGUGGAUUGAUCAGAUUAACCUGGUUGUACAGGAAAUUCCAUCAACUGCCAGAAAACCCCACCAUCAAUGACAUUGCAUUCAGCACCCGAGCGUACCUUCUAUAUUUGGUUGGCUCCACCUUAUUUCCCGACACAAUGAGGGGAUUUGUAUCCCCAAGAUACCUACCACUUUUGGGGGAUUUCAGGAAGAUACAUGAGUAUGCUUGGGGGGCUGCAGCCCUUGCUCAUUUGUACAGAGGAUUGUCUGUUGCAGUAACACCAAAUGCUACUACCCAGUUUCUCGGGAGUGCAACUUUGCUCAUGGCUUGGAUUUACGAGUAUAUUCCUUUGACUCAACCCCAACAAAAGAAUCAGAACACGUUGCUGCCCCGGGCAUGCCGAUGGAACUUUGGAGGAACAACACGUGGGCAGAGAAAGAAAGUUAUGGAAUGGAGAAAGGAUUUCGAGCAGCUUCAGUUGUCCGAUGUCAACUGGAAUCCUUACAAGGACAUAAAUCCAGCGAUUGUUCCAGGAUAUUGCAUCGCAGCAGAUAACAUUUGCCACUCUCGGACAUGGCUAAUCAGCUUUAACAUAAAAGAGGUGUAUGUACCUGACCGGUUCAAUAGGCAGUUUGGGAGGGAGCAAGGUCGCCUCUAUCAGGUGCCAAUGUGGGCAAGAAGAACUUGGAGUAAAGGGAAAGACUGGAGGGUUGAGUAUGCUCGUGAGAUUGAUGACUUCCAUCAAUUGGUUGGUUGUCGUUUUAUCCCUUCUACGGGAGCUAAUAUAAACUCCCUCCCGAGUGAGUCUAUAGCUGGACAGAGCAGUACCAGAUGCAGCCGGAAUGCAUCUCAAAACUUCUCUAUGAUGGUGGAAGAUUUAAAGAAUGAUCUCCCGGUAAUUGAUCGUUAUCUGGAGGGACAGGUACUCCCCGUGGAGGUUGCAAGCUUCCUAGAGAGGGUGAGCAUGAUGAUCAAAACUUAUUCCCCACCGCAGAGCAAUGAAAGGAAAGAUGAAGCAGCUCAGAGCAAGAAUGUGAGAGCAAAGAAUCCAAGAAAGAGGGCGAGGAAACCUUUGGUCUCUGAAGAUCCUUCAAGCCCUCAGGACUGCGGGGUAGACCGGUAUGCAGGUGCGCUGGUGCCUUAUCAGGCUAGCAAGUGUGACAGGGUGUUGGAUGGCACCGUGCCUCUGCUAAACAGAGGGGAAGCGUUGAAGGAAAAUGAGGUGAUGGAUCCCUGGCAAAUGUCGCAUUUGACAGCAGAGUCGUCUUCGUCUGGAGACUCGAGCUUGCCGGAAUCAAGGAGGCGGAGGUGUGAGGAAUCCGGAGCCCCGAGGAGCAACCAGGGCGUCCGAAGGAGUGGAAGGAUGUGCGUGCAGCUCAAAAUGUUGAAGCACAGGGACGGGGUUGGGGCCGAGGAGACCAACCCGAUCUUCCUCUGAUAAGGGACUGACGCUGCCCGUCGUUUGGUCUUGGGCAUUGUACAAAGUAGUGGACCUGUCGUCGCGCUGCCGCAGACAGUUUACUGUUUUUUAUGUAGCGUUUGUAUGCCUUUGGUCGUGGUGACUGGUGAGUGAAAACCUGGCCUUUGGCAUGCGUACAUGAGUCGUGUAGGCUGGUGGGGCAAGGUAGAUGCCGCGCAACCUUUGUGGCGUAUGCACUGCUAUCCUUCCUCUCCAGUUAAUCUGCGGCACUUGCGUUUUGGUGAUGCUGUGCUUUGUAGAUAUGCGCAAGUGCUGGCCAUGACAGAAUGCCAGGAUGGGAUGUUGCACGGUGGUCUCUCAGAAUUUCAUGUUGGGGGCACGCCCAAUCUUGAAUUU
rnacentral:rRNA from 1 species